rnacentral:rRNA from 1 species
GAAAUCCGCUUUAGCGGUAUGAUAGUACCGGAGGAAUAAGGGGUUGCCAAACUCGUGCCAGCAGCAGCGGUAAUACGAGUGCCCCAAGCGUUGUCCGGAAUUACUGGGCGUAAAGGGUGUGUAGGGGGUUGUGUUAGUCUUAUUUUAAAAAUUUCGGCUUAACCGGAAAGAUGAAUGAGAAACGGCGCAACUUUGAGAGUGCGAGAGGUAUGCGGAACUCACGGUGUAGGGGUGAAAUCCGUUGAUAUCGUGGGUAACACCAAAGGCGAAGGCAGCAUACUGGCGCAUUUCUGACCCUGAAACACGAAAGCGUGGGCAUAAAAAAGGAUUAGAUACCCUUGUAUUCCACGCCCUAAACGAUGUUCUCUAGCUUUUCGAAGUAUCGACCCUUCGGGAGGCGAAGCUAACGCGUUAAGAGAACCGCCUGGGAAGUACGGCCGCAAGGCUAAAACUCAAAGGAAUAGACGGGGACUUGCACAAGCGGUGGAUCAUGCGGUUUAAUUCGACGAUACACGAAGAACCUUACCAGGGCUUGAAACCCAGACGAACUCCAGCAGAAACGUUGGAGGUCUCACAAGGACGGCUGGGCAGGUGAUGCAUGGCUGUUGUCAGUUCGUGGUUUGAAUUGUUCCCUUAAGUGGGGCAACGAACGCAACCCUUAUUGCCUGUUACAAGUGUCAGGCGAGACUGCCCCGCUCAGCGGGGAGGAAGGAGAGGAUGACACCAAGUCAGCAUGUCCCUUUGAUGCCCUGGGCUACACGCAUGAUACAAUGGUCGGUACAAUGAGCCGCGAAGCCGAAAGGCGGAGCAAAUCUCAUCAAAGCCGGCCCUAGUUCGGAUUGAGGUCUGCAACUCGACCUCAUGAAGCUGGAAUCGCUAGUAAUCGCAGGUCAGCUAUACUGCGGUGAAUACGUUCUCAAGUCUUGUACUCACCGCCCGUCAAGUCAAGGGAGCCGAGAAUACCCGAAACCCACGCUUGCGUGGUCUACGGUAAGUUCGGUGACAGGGACUAAGUCGUAACAAGGUAA